GAUGAACGCUGGCGGCGUGCUUAACACAUGCAAGUCGAACGGAAAGGCUCCUGCUUGCAGGGGUACUCGAGUGGCGAACGGGUGAGUAACACGUGGGUGAUCUGCCCUGCACUUCGGGAUAAGCCUGGGAAACUGGGUCUAAUACCGGAUAGGACGAUGGUUUGGAUGCCAUUGUGGAAAGUUUUUCGGUGUGGGAUGAGCUCGCGGCCUAUCAGCUUGUUGGUGGGGUAAUGGCCUACCAAGGCGUCGACGGGUAGCCGGCCUGAGAGGGUGUACGGCCACAUUGGGACUGAGAUACGGCCCAGACUCCUACGGGAGGCAGCAGUGGGGAAUAUUGCACAAUGGGCGCAAGCCUGAUGCAGCGACGCCGCGUGGGUGAUGACGGCCUUCGGGUUGUAAACUCCUUUCGCUAGGGACGAAGCGCAAGUGACGGUACCUGGAGAAGAAGCACCGGCUAACUACGUG
rnacentral:rRNA from 1 species